rnacentral:rRNA from 1 species
AUUGAACGCUGGCGGCAGGCCUAACACAUGCAAGUCGAGCGGAUGAAGGGAGCUUGCUCCUGGAUUCAGCGGCGGACGGGUGAGUAAUGCCUAGGAAUCUGCCUGGUAGUGGGGGAUAACGUCCGGAAACGGGCGCUAAUACCGCAUACGUCCUGAGGGAGAAAGUGGGGGAUCUUCGGACCUCACGCUAUCAGAUGAGCCUAGGUCGGAUUAGCUAGUUGGUGGGGUAAAGGCCUACCAAGGCGACGAUCCGUAACUGGUCUGAGAGGAUGAUCAGUCACUCUGGAACUGAGACACGGUCCAGACUCCUACGGGAGGCAGCAGUGGGGAAUAUUGGACAAUGGGCGAAAGCCUGAUCCAGCCAUGCCGCGGGUGUGAAGAAGGUCUUCGGAUUUUAAAGCACUUUAAGUUGGGAGGAAGGGCAGUAAGUUAAUACCUUGCUGUUUUGACGUUACCAACAGAAUAAGCACCGGCUAACUUCGUG